rnacentral:tRNA from 1 species
ACCUAGCGUGUUCAGUUGGUAGAGCAUGUGACUCUUGAUCUCAGGGUUGUGAGUUCGAGCCUCACUUUAGGGU